GAUGAUGAUGAUGAUGAUGAUGAUGGAGCUAUGCUGCUGUACUUGGACACCUUAUGGUAAAACAAUAAGAAUUCCAAACGGUAUUUGAUAAAUUAUUUACGAUACCCUCCAUGCACAAGAAAUCAAUACGAAUCAUGGGUUCCCUUUUUUACAAAAGCAUUGAAAAUUCACUCAGCAUUGCUUACAUGAAGCCUCUAACUUGAUGAGAGAGCAAGUUGGUUAAAAAAAUAGAAGCUUAUUUGAGAAAUGAGGAGUUAGCAUUGUGCCUGUCGAGGCCUUCCUCCUGUCUAGCACAUGGACCAUCGUAAAUGGCCUUGCGCCUGGGCUGGAGUGCAGUGGUGCAAUCUCGGCUGACUGCAACCUC
rnacentral:lncRNA from 1 species